rnacentral:misc_RNA from 1 species
UCGUAACAAGGUUUCCGUAGGUGAACCUGCGGAAGGAUCAUUACUGAUUUGCUUAAUUGCACCACAUGUGUUUUUCUUUGAAACAAACUUGCUUUGGCGGUGGGCCCAGCCUGCCGCCAGAGGUCUAAACUUACAACCAAUUUUUUAUCAACUUGUCACACCAGAUUAUUACUAAUAGUCAAAACUUUCAACAACGGAUCUCUUGGUUCUCGCAUCGAUGAAGAACGCAGCGAAAUGCGAUACGUAAUAUGAAUUGCAGAUAUUCGUGAAUCAUCGAAUCUUUGAACGCACAUUGCGCCCUCUGGUAUUCCGGAGGGCAUGCCUGUUUGAGCGUCGUUUCUCCCUCAAACCGCUGGGUUUGGUGUUGAGCAAUACGACUUGGGUUUGCUUGAAAGACGGUAGUGGUAAGGCGGGAUCGCUUUGACAAUGGCUUAGGUCUAACCAAAAACAUUGCUUGCGGCGGUAACGUCUACCACGUAUAUCUUCAAACUUUGACCUCAAAUCAGGUAGGACUACCCGCUGAACUUAAGCAUAUCAAUAA